rnacentral:rRNA from 1 species
UACGUAGGGUGCAAGCGUUGUCCGGAAUUAUUGGGCGUAAAGAGCUCGUAGGCGGUUCGUCGCGUCGGCUGUGAAAACCCGGAGCUCAACUCCGGGCCUGCAGUCGAUACGGGCGGACUUGAGUGUUGCAGGGGAGACUGGAAUUCCUGGUGUAGCGGUGGAAUGCGCAGAUAUCAGGAAGAACACCCGUGGCUAAGGCGGCUCUCUAGUACGGUACUGACGCUGAGACGCGAAAGCGUGGGGAGCGAACAGG